GACGAACGCUGGCGGCGUGCCUAAUACAUGCAAGUCGAGCGAGCGAAACUAACAGAUUUACUUCGGUAAUGACGUUAGGAAAGCGAGCGGCGGAUGGGUGAGUAACACGUGGGGAACCUGCCCCAUAGUCUGGGAUACCACUUGGAAACAGGUGCUAAUACCGGAUAAGAAAGCAGAUCGCAUGAUCAGCUUUUAAAAGGCGGCGUAAGCUGUCGCUAUGGGAUGGCCCCGCGGUGCAUUAGCUAGUUGGUAAGGUAAAGGCUUACCAAGGCGAUGAUGCAUAUCCCAGUUGAGGGCCUGAUCCGCCACAUUGGGACUGAGACACGGCCCAAACUCCUACGGGAGGCAGCAGUAGGGAAUCUUCCACAAUGGACGCAAGUCUGAUGGAGCAACGCCGCGUGAGUGAAGAAGGUUUUCGGAUCGUAAAGCUCUGUUGUUGGUGAAGAAGGAUAGAGGUAGUAACUGGCCUUUAUUUGACGGUAAUCAACCAGAAAGUCACGGCUAACUACGUG
rnacentral:rRNA from 1 species